CUACGGGUUGCUGCAGUGAGGAAUAUUGCACAAUGGGGGGAACCCUGAUGCAGCAACGCCGCGUGGAGGAUGACGCAUUUCGGUGUGUAGACCCCUUUUAUAUGUCAAGAAAAUGACGGUAGCAUAUGAAUAAGCACCGGCUAACUCCGUGCCAGCAGCCGCGGUAAUACGGAGGGUGCAAGCGUUACUCGGAAUCACUGGGCGUAAAGGACGCGUAGGCGGGUUGGAAAGUCAGGUGUGAAAUCCUACAGCUUAACUGGAGAACUGCACUUGAAACUUCUAAUCUAGAGUAUGGGAGGGGGAGAUGGAAUUAGUGGUGUAGGGGUAAAAUCCGUAGAUAUCACUAGGAAUACCUAAAGCGAAGGCGAUCUCCUGGAACAUUACUGACGCUAAGGCGUGAAAGCGUGGGGAGCAAACAGGAUUAGAUACCCUAGUAGUC
rnacentral:rRNA from 1 species